UGGGGAAUAUUGCGCAAUGGGCGAAAGCCUGACGCAGCAACACCGCGUGAGGGAUGACGGCCUUCGGGUUGUAAACCUCUUUCAGCUCCGACGAAGCGAAAGUGACGGUAGGAGCAGAAGAAGCACCGGCUAACUCCGUGCCAGCAGCCGCGGUAAUACGGAGGGUGCGAGCGUUAAUCGGAAUUACUGGGCGUAAAGCGUGCGCAGGCGGUUUGUUAAGCGAGAUGUGAAAGCCCCGGGCUCAACCUGGGAACUGCAUUUCGAACUGGCAAACUAGAGUCUUGUAGAGGGGGGUAGAAUUUCAGGUGUAGCGGUGAAAUGCGUAGAGAUCUGAAGGAAUACCGGUGGCGAAGGCGGCCCCCUGGACAAAGACUGACGCUCAGGCACGAAAAGCGUGGGGGAGCAAAACAGGAUUAGAUACCCCUGGGUAGUCCCACGCCGUAAAACGAUGUCUACUCGGAGUUUGGUGUCUUGAACACUGGGCUCUCAAGCUAACGCAUUAAGUAGACCGCCUGGGGA
rnacentral:rRNA from 1 species